AUUGAACGCUGGCGGAAUGCUUUACACAUGCAAGUCGAACGGCAGCACGGACUUCGGUCUGGUGGCGAGUGGCGAACGGGUGAGUAAUGUAUCGGAACGUGCCCAGUCGUGGGGGAUAACGUAGUGAAAAUUACGCUAAUACCGCAUACGAUCUAUGGAUGAAAGCGGGGGAUCGCAAGACCUCGCGCGAUUGGAGCGGCCGAUAUCAGAUUAGGUAGUUGGUGGGGUAAGGGCCCACCAAGCCAACGAUCUGUAGCUGGUCUGAGAGGACGACCAGCCACACUGGAACUGAGACACGGUCCAGACUCCUACGGGAGGCAGCAGUGGGGAAUUUUUGACAAUGGGCGAAAGCCUGAUCCAGCCAUUCCGCGUGCAGGAUGAAGGCCCUCGGGUUGUAAACUGCUUUUGUACAGAACGAAAAGGUUUCUACUAAAACUAGGAGCUCCUGACGGUACUGUAAGAAUAAGCACCGGCUAACUACGUGCCAGCCGCCGCGGUAA
rnacentral:rRNA from 1 species